rnacentral:misc_RNA from 1 species
CGCACAUUGCGCCCUUUGGUAUUCCGAAGGGCAUGUCUGUUCGAGCGUCAUAAAAACAAAAUCAAGCACGGCUUGGAAUUGGACGUCUUCGUCCCCCGCUGGCGGGACGCGUCCUGAAGUCCUUAGGCGGUGGCCCCGAGCCCCGAGCGUAGUAGAAUCAAAUCCCCGCUCCGGAUGGCCUCGAUGGUCGCUCGCUUCGAAAAAUUCAAAACAUCAGAGAUUUGACCUCGAAUCAGAUAAGAAAACCCGCUGAACUUAA